GUUAGACUAUUCUGUAUUCAGUUUUAACCUACCUAGUAAUAUUUGCUGGAGAAAGAAACAAGCUCUUUAUUACAUGCACAGGAAACUAACAAAGUAGAAUGUAUGGGAUGAUGAGGAGGUCAUUUGGAAUGGAAAUAAGGGAAAAAAUGACAUUACAUCCAAAACACUACAGUGGAGCCAGUUAAUAUGUACAAUCAACACCAGAAAUGUAUCCCAAAAAAUAGUUACUUCCAUUUAUCUCAUUGGAAUGCAAGAUAACACUUAGUUGAUAAUUCUCAAAAUGUUUUGCUGGUUUGGGUAAAAAGAAACAUUUUUACAUGCACAGAAUGCUACAGAAGUUUUCUGUUAGCUACCAAUCUGCCCAGUAGGCUGAUGAUCAAAGUCUUGAAUAACUGACAAUUCUUUGGGGGCCUAGAGACACCGCUAGAAAAAGUCAAUUCACC
rnacentral:lncRNA from 1 species